UGGUUUGUAGGUCUUUUUUCGAAAAUAAGCCUUGCUUGUAGCAGGUUUAGAAGUAGUAGCUUCAGAGAAAGUAGAUUUAUCAAAGAGAAACCCUGAAGAAGGCAAGAGUGCUUUAGCUGUAGGCUUGGUGAUAUUGGUGUCAGUAGAAGCUCCAAAAUUCACUAUAAUACAAAACAUAGACUAAUAGGUCUGAGAUCAGACAUCUGAUUUGGGUGUAAUACCUUUGGAAGAAUACACAGCUGAGUGAAGGAAAGGAGCCUGUGGAAACAAAUUUCUGAAUUUCCAUGGUAACUUGAAGACCUAUGAUCUCCCAAUAUUUCUGAAAGAAAAGACCUGUCAUGCCAUCAGAGCAGGGUGCACUAGAAGGGUUUAUCGAGAAGACAGCCUGUUUAAUCUCUUCAGAAGAAACUGGACUUAUCAAAGACUCAUUCAUACUUGGAGAAACUUUAGGUUCAAAAUCAUGAAAAAGCCAGUCGAAAUUUCCAGGAGAAGAGGUUUUAAAUAAGUCUAUAAAGUAAGCUGUGGCAAUUUCACCUUUAGAAGCUUCUGAUUUUUUUAUUAUUGCCAUUGCAAUCUUUCAAAAUGUCUAUUCUCUUUUGUGUUCUGUUGGCUUAGACAGAAGCAUGGAAAAACUUCGUAUUAUGAGAUCCUUCUUGCAUCCAUUUUUCUCUACUUUUUUUACUCCAAUAUGAUUCUUCCUCUCUAUAAGCUUGAUUUAACUGAUUCUUGAGGUUAUUCAUUUGAAUUGUUGAAGGAAGAACUGAAGACUGCUCUUGUUCCAAAGCGAUCUGAAGCUGAGAGAGCCUGUCCUGAGAGUUUAAACAGUUUUUUCUUUUCCAUUUGCCGAGGGCUCUCCUGCAGUAUCUAAGCUUGUCAGAAACUGAAGAUAAAUGGGACGGAUAGGUAUUUGACGUCCAAGCAGUAGAUAUAGUUUCUUUCACAAGAUGUUUAUUUAAAAACCUUUUAUCAAAUCUGAAAUUGCCUCUGUAAACCUCAGUGGAAGACCUUUUCUCUUAUGCACUACAACUUUCUGAAGACCUUUAUCCUGUUCAACCUUUUUCAAAGAAGAGGAAAUAGGUGUACCUUGAAGUUUCUUCCUUGGUUUGUAGGUCUUUUUUCGAAAAUAAGCCUUGCUUGUAGCAGGUUUAGAAGUAGUAGCUUCAGAGAAAGUAGAUUUAUCAAAGAGAAACCCUGAAGAAGGCAAGAGUGCUUUAGCUGUAGGCUUGGUGAUAUUGGUGUCAGUAGAAGCUCCAAAAUUCACUAUAAUUCCUUUGCCUUUGUCAAUUUCAGGAGAUAUUGAUGGUAUGGAUUGAGAAAUAUUUCCUGGAAUAGGAGCAUGAAGAGAAGUCAGUGCCAAACAACCUAUCGAAGCUUUAGAUUGAGAAUCUUUGGUAAAGCGAUAAGAGACAGUGGAGUCAGCAAAAAAUUGACGAAGUUCUUCUAGAGCCAAAGAAUCAAUCCUAACACGAUCAGAAGUUUUGGUUUUCAAAGGAGCAGACUUAUCUGGGAGAGUUUCUUUCUCAGCUUCUUUUAAGGACUGUUGCUGUUGAAGAUACCAUGGGCAGUGAUCUCGUUCAUGGGUGAGCCUCUGACAGAAAUAACAUCGCUUUUGAAUCCUUUCAUAAUCAUAGAAGAUUGAAGUCUUCUCACCAGACGGUAAAUUGACAACUUGAAGAGGUUUUAACAAAGUCUUUGUUUUGAGCUUUAGUUUGAUGAAAUUCCAUGUCAAUAACCUGACCUGCUGAGG
rnacentral:lncRNA from 1 species